rnacentral:snoRNA from 1 species
ACCCUCUAGAUCCCUUAUCCAUCAGACCUAAACACUGGUCUGCGUGGUUAUAAAAGGAGGAAAAGUAAAAUUGAAACAAAGUUAAAUUCUUUUGUGACACACCAGC